CGGGACACGUGGUAUCCUGUCUGAAUAUGGGGGGACCAUCCUCCAAGGCUAAAUACUCCUGACUGACCGAUAGUGAACCAGUACCGUGAGGGAAAGGCGAAAAGAACCCCGGCGAGGGGAGUGAAAAAGAACCUGAAACCGUGUACGUACAAGCAGUGGGAGCACGCUUAGGCGUGUGACUGCGUACCUUUUGUAUAAUGGGUCAGCGACUUAUAUUCUGUAGCAAGGUUAACCGAAUAGGGGAGCCGAAGGGAAACCGAGUCUUAACUGGGCGUUAAGUUGCAGGGUAUAGACCCGAAACCCGGUGAUCUAGCCAUGGGCAGGUUGAAGGUUGGGUAACACUAACUGGAGGACCGAACCGACUAAUGUUGAAAAAUUAGCGGAUGACUUGUGGCUGGGGGUGAAAGGCCAAUCAAACCGGGAGAUAGCUGGUUCUCCCCGAAAGCUAUUUAGGUAGCGCCUCGUGAAUUCAUCUCCGGGGGUAGAGCACUGUUUCGGCAAGGGGGUCAUCCCGACUUACCAACCCGAUGCAAACUGCGAAUACCGGAGAAUGUUAUCACGGGAGACACACGGCGGGUGCUAACGUCCGUCGUGAAGAGGGAAACAACCCAGACCGCCAGCUAAGGUCCCAAAGUCAUGGUUAAGUGGGAAACGAUGUGGGAAGGCCCAGACAGCCAGGAUGUUGGCUUAGAAGCAGCCAUCAUUUAAAGAAAGCGUAAUAGCUCACUGGUCGAGUCGGCCUGCGCGGAAGAUGUAACGGGGCUAAACCAUGCAC
rnacentral:rRNA from 7 species